UAGGAAGGAGUGGCAGGAAACACAAAUCACUGAACUGAAUUUAAAAUUUAGGGGUCAUGUAAAAAAAACAAACCUCCACGCAUGCUGCUGCCUAGCUCCUUUAUUCAUAAAAGCUAGAACAGAUCUGAAACUCGCCCUUCUUAUGCAAGAGAAAAACUGUACGUUUCCUUAAGGAUCAAAGAGUGCUUGUGUAUAACUGAGUGACGACAGUCCCAGCUGUUUGCUUUAUGGUUGCUGGCCACGUAAGCUUUACACAAGUUACUAAAUACAUAUGACUUCUCUCUAACAGAGAGAAGAUAUUUCUUUAAAAGCACAUAGCUGCAUAUAAACAUCUCCCAACUGUAAUCUUAUUUAAGGAUAUAUUUGACAAAGGAAGGAAAAGUGUGUUGGACUGUUGUCAAAAGAGGCACUGCUAGAUAGUGGGAUCCUCGAAAACCAUAAUGGUUAGGUAUGAAUGCAUUUAUAGUCUGGAGGCUCAGCUUUCUAGUGGUUUAAUGCAUUUGUUUCUAGGCUUGUCAGGUUGGGACCUCAUAAUCAGAUCAUUCUAAGUAGCAGCUGUUUUUUUUUCAUUAGAAUUGUGACACUACUUCAGUAUCUGUUAUCUUGGCAACCACUAAAGCUAGAAACCAAUGCUUCUACUUUCUGAAAGCAUCUUAAGCUUCCAUCUUUCAAAGAGUUUAAAACAUUAAUCUCCAUUUCCAAUGUUCUGUGAGAGAUCUGCUGUUAGUCAUUUCAGAACUGAAGCAGAAUA